rnacentral:rRNA from 1 species
AGCAGCCGCGGUAAUUCCAGCUCCAAUAGCGUAUAUUAAAGUUGUUGCAGUUAAAAAGCUCGUAGUUGAAUUUCGGGAUCAAAUUGUUGGUCGUGCCUCGGUACGCACUGGUAUUAUUGGUUCCUACCUUCUGAAGAACCGCGAUGUCAUUAAUUUGGUGUCGUGGGGAAUCAGGACUGUUACUUUGAAAAAAUUAGAGUGUUUAAAGCAGGCUUACGCUUGAAUACAUUAGCAUGGAAUAAUGAAAUAGGACGUUUGAUUCUAUUUUGUUGGUUUCUAGGAUUGACGUAAUGAUUAAUAGGGAUAGUUGGGGGCAUUAGUAUUCAAUUGUCAGAGGUGAAAUUCUUGGAUUUAUUGAAGACUAACUACUGCGAAAGCAUUUGCCAAGGAUGUUUUCAUUAAUCAGGAACGAAAGUUAGGGGAUCGAAGACGAUCAGAUACCGUCGUAG